AGCUGGUCUGAAGGUAGUGAGUUAUCUCACGUGAUUGUUCACAGUCAGUUACAGACUGAACUCAUUGUUCUACUACUUUCCCCCCUCUCACUACAUAACUCUGACAUAGCCUGAA
rnacentral:Y_RNA from 1 species